rnacentral:rRNA from 1 species
GAUGAACGCUGGCGGCGUGCUUAACACAUGCAAGUCGAACGGGAAACCUUUUAUUGAAGCUUCGGCAGAUUUAGCUGGUUUCUAGUGGCGGACGGGUGAGUAACGCGUGGGUAACCUGCCUUAUACAGGGGGAUAACAACCAGAAAUGGUUGCUAAUACCGCAUAAGCGCACAGGACCGCAUGGUCCGGUGUGAAAAACUCCGGUGGUAUAAGAUGGACCCGCGUUGGAUUAGCUAGUUGGCAGGGUAACGGCCUACCAAGGCGACGAUCCAUAGCCGGCCUGAGAGGGUGAACGGCCACAUUGGGACUGAGACCCGGCCCAGACUCCUACGGGAGGCAGCAGUGGGGAAUAUUGCACAAUGGGGGAAACCCUGAUGCAGCGACGCCGCGUGAAGGAAGAAGUAUCUCGGUAUGUAAACUUCUAUCAGCAGGGAAGAUAGUGACGGUACCUGACUAAGAAGCCCCGGCUAACUACGUG